GACGAACGCUGGCGGCGUGCUUAACACAUGCAAGUCGAGCGGUAAGGCCCUUUCGGGGGUACACGAGCGGCGAACGGGUGAGUAACACGUGGGUGACCUGCCCUCAGCUCUGGGAUAAGCCUGGGAAACCGGGUCUAAUACUGGAUAUGACUCCAUGACGCAUGUUGUGGGGUGAAAGCCUUGUGCGGCUAAGGAUGGGCCCGCGGCCUAUCAGCUUGUUGGUGGGGUGANGGCCUACCAAGGCGACGACGGGUAGCCGGCCUGAGAGGGCGACCGGCCACACUGGGACUGAGACACGGCCCAGACUCCUACGGGAGGCAGCAGUGGGGAAUCUUGCGCAAUGGGCGAAAGCCUGACGCAGCGACGCCGCGUGAGGGAUGACGGCCUCGGUGUAACGU
rnacentral:rRNA from 1 species